rnacentral:lncRNA from 1 species
CAGAACUGGGCUUUGAUGGCCACAUCUUGAUAAAUCCAAACCAUGAGGUUUCUUUAAGGAUUAAGAUAGUGUCAUUCACAAACUGCUGAGCAUACAAAAAAUAACACAAGAAAGAAUCCGUAUGCUUUGAACAACUAAAAGCGCAUUUGACAGUGAUUCUAGAAAGUGUUUCUAACCUUUCUAACGCUUGAAACUUUCUAUCUUUCAAGUAUUAGAAAAACUAGAACCACUGCAAAACAUACUCAUAAUCUACAUAAAUUGUGAAAAGGAAUAGGAAUAAUAAUAAUAAUAAUCCAAGGGGGCCAAGAGAUUCCGACCCAACAGGAUCAUGACCAACUACCAAGUUCCAUCAGCUUCUGAAGCUUUCCUUGUAAGGAGUUCUGAAAACAAUGGAAAAAAGCAAGCUAUUGCCUUUUGAAUGAUUUUAGAUUGUAGAAGCUUUAAGCACAAAUUGUUAACAAAAGAGCAUGCAGCAGAAGAACCUGAUAACAUCUCCUAUGCUACAUCAAAAUAACUACUGGGAGCCAAGUAAGCCUGUGAUUCCACAACUUAAAGCCAUCAUAAUAGUAAAACUUUGUUACAGGCAACAAGAAGUAGAACAAGAAUCAAGACAAUAUUUAGUGGUGUAAGGAUAAUCCCUCAGGAGCUCAAAUGUAACAAAAAUCUGAAAUGCCAAUGAUGCUGCAAAAUUAAAGAAAGCUCAAAGAGAAAUAAUACUGUGACAUGGUCUCUGUGGAUCUUGGUUUCCGUUAGUUGUCCAUGACAAUAAUAGAAUGCCAUACUGCAAAAGCAAAACAACCUUGGAGUGUUGAUUCAGUAUAUGUUUUAAUAGAUAAAUAAAGAUCAAGGAGCUACUUAUACAAGUGUCAAGGGGUUGAAAUUCGGAAAUGUUUUAAUAGGAUUAAUGUUAUUUAUGAAAACAUGAAAGAGUACAAGGGACACAAGAAAAUUUUGUCACUAUCCGUAUUCAUGAUUAUAAUCAACUCUAGAUUAUAACAAUGAAAAGUUAAUAGGAUUACACGGUUAAGAAGUUCUCCUUUAGGCUUCUUUCAAAGCUCUAGGGGUUGAGACAAGGGGAUCCCUUGUCUCCCUACUUAUUCGCGAUAGCAAUGGAGGCCCUCAGUAGUCUUCUCUUGAGAGCUAGGGAAGGAGGUUUUAUCUCAAGGUUCAAGGUGAAGGGAAGAGGGGGUGAGGGGAAGGAAGUUUCUCAUCUCCCCUUUGCUAACGACACAAUUGCUUUUGCAAGGCUUCUUAGGAUCAAGUCAAUAAUUGAUGUUGGGAUCUCAUGUAGUUCGAGGCUAUUUCAAGGCUGAUAAUUAAUCUUUAUAAGAGUGAGUUGAUCCCAGUUAGGCGGGUGGAAAAUAUGGAGGAGUUGGCUUCUGAGCUCGGUUGCAAGGUAGGGGAGCUACUGACUUCUUACUUGGGCUCUCUUUGGGGGCUCCUUGCAGAUCAAAGGCGGGUUGGAAUGGGGUUGAAGAGUGGUUUCAAAAAAGGGCUUCAAUGUGGAAGAGCCAAUACAUCUCUAAAGGGGGGAGGCUUAUAAUGAUUCAUAACACAUUAUCCAACUUGCUUAUUUAUUUUAUGUCUUUGUCCAUCUUGAAAAAUGUCAGGUUAAGGCUAGAGAAAAUCCCUAAGGAUUUUCUUUGAGGUGGAGAGGUCCUAAAGAAAAACCCACACUUGGUGAAGUGGUCGGCUAUUUGUGAGGCCAAGUCAAAAGGGGGUUUGGGUGUCAAAUCUCUCUCUUUGCUAAACAAAACCCUUCUUUGCAAAUGGCUUUGCCAUUUUACUUGUUAAAGGGAAUUGCUUUGGAAGAAGGUUAUUGUUGGCAAAUAUAGGGAGGAUGAAGGGAGGUGUUCUUGUGAGGUAAGAGACUGUUAUGAGGUAGGCUUUUGGUCUCUUUUUCUAUGGCCAAUGGGAGAAGAGCAAAAUUCUGGAAGAACAGGUGGUGUGGUGAGGAGCCUCUAGUGUUGCCUGUCCAUCCUUGUUUGCCUUAGUCAAGUUGAAAGAGACGAGGGCAAGAAAUUUAUGGGGGCAAGAAAUUUAUGGGAGUAGAGUGAGGAAGGAGGACAAUGGAAUUUCUAUUUCACAAGGAAUUUAAAUGAUUGGGAGUUAGAUCUCAUGGAGUUUUUUUUUGUUUAGACCCCAAGGAAAGUCAGUGCACAAAGACAUGGAUGAUCAAGUAGUAUGAAAGAUCAUUAAGAAUGAUAUCUUUUCUGUGAGAUUUCUUUAUUCUGCUCUUGAGCUAGAUCGUGCCUUUCCUUUUCCAUUAGCAAUUAUCAGGAACCUCUGGAGUCUAGGGUGAGCUUUUUCCUUAGGAGGCAUGUUGGGAUAAGGUGUUGAAGUUGGACCGGCUUCAAAGAAGAGGUUAGUUUAGUCAACAUGUAUACUCUUUGCAAAGACGAGGCAAAAUGCAUUGACCACACUCUUUGUGGCAGUUAUUCUUUCUAUUGUUUGGUAUUUUCUAGGUCAUUUUUGCCUCUAUCAAGGAGAUCUCCUAAAAUGGCAUGGCUCUUUCAUGGGAAGAAGGUGAAAGAAGGCAUGGACAGCAGCCAUACCGUUAUGCAUUCUCUAGACUAUUUGGGAGGAAAGAAAACGAGGAUCAUUUGAAAAUGAGUUGUAUGAUCAACGUCUAAAUAACAUCUUCCUCAAUAAUAUCUAUUAGUGGUUCAAGGCUUACGUAGAUGAAGGUGCUAGGUCUUUAUUGGAUUUUAUUGAUUGGCUGGGGUUUUGUUGAGGGAGGGAGUAGAUUUUUUGUCUUCCCCUUUUUUGCUUGCCCUGUUGUAUACGUCCCAUGUACUCUCGUUUACCUUUUCUUUCGGCGCUUUUAAUAUAUUCUCUUCUUUGCCUAUAUAAAAAAGAGAAGACAAAGAAAACAAGGCCAAGGAAGCUCUAUACAAUAGAAAACAGAAAUUAUCAACAUUAGUAAAUUGGAAAUGUAGCUGUAAGUACAGGGCCAACACAUGAAGCUGUAAAUUCUAUAAUACCACCAACAAUCACAACGAGAACCAUCCAUACCAACACAUAAAAUUGCAACCAGCAGCCAUGACUUAAAAUAGACAACUUUAGGUUAUCAAGGACUCCAAGCAUCAUACAACCAAAUUCCAAGUCUAACCAUUCCCUGCCUUUUGCCACUCUUCCUCGUGAUCUUUUGCUACCCACAAGCUUGAAAUGCUUCUUCUCUAAAUAAAUACCAUUUUAAGGGUAACAGGAUCAUUUCCUGACCUGAAAACACUUGGCAGUAGUCCUGCAAGCAAAUGUACAUAGUUCACUAAUGAACAUCUGAGAAGUAUACUAACAAAUCUGAUUCUGAUUCUGUUUUUGUUUUUUCCUUUGCUUUUUUUGCCUGUUUGGGAUAAUUAACAUUUUUCCCCAGUGAAAUAAAAAAUAUCCCAAAAUCUUAAGGAAUAGAGAAUGAAUAGAAAAUCCUCUUAUUUUCAUUUCAUCUAUUUGAUAAAUAGAAAGACCUAUACAUGUACCCUAGGCCUAUUGAGUAACCAAAUUAAUCAAACUGUCAAUCCUGUUUGCAUUCACUUUUUUGUUCUUUUUUUUUUUUUUUUUUGAUAGGUGUUGACCUUUUUUUCUUACUCAAAUUAAUGUUCAUUAAUUAAUCUUUUCCUUCUAAACAAAUUCACACACACAUAUAUAUAGGUGUGCGUCAGUGUAUGAGUUUUUACAUUGGUAUAAUAAAAUGGCAUAAAAGAAAGCUGAAGUAGUCCCACAUAACUGUAACUAGUAGAUAUUGAAUGGCAUCUUACAGAAAAAAAUGGUAACAGAGAGAGAAGAACAAGGAAAUCAUCUUUAUCUGUGCCAUUUCAUUGCCAAACCUUAUUCUAGAUCAAUUGAAACAUUUUUAACUCAAAAAGGGUGUGUUUUGGAAGGCAGGAAUGGAAAUGAUAUUAACAUGGGAAUGAAGUUGAAUCAUAACACCAUUUGGAAAAAAGGAAUCAAAAUCCUGGCAAGAGUAGGUUUUGGUUUCUGUGAUAAUAAAUUUUUUAUUCCCACUCCUACGUCUAAAAAGCAAUCCAAACACAAUGACCAAUGAGAAAUGGAAUGGAUUUUCAUUCUCAUUCUCUUUUCCAAUGAACCAAAAAUGUCCUAAGAGGAAAGGUUCAAAUGAAGAAGAUAAGCAUUCAUGGAAAAAGCUUCUUGAGAAAUAUGGACAUUCAAUAGCAAAGCAGUGGAGCUGAGACACGAGUUGAGAACUAGAUUUCUCAGCAACUAUACAGAGAUUAAUUUAUAAAAAAUAAAAUAAGACAAAAUAAAAAUGAAAAAAAAAAAAAAAACCUAAAAUAACCAGAAUCUGAACAGAAAAAAUCCUGUCAUUGAUAUUCUUUACUGAGGUGUUGUUUCUAGGAACCUGAAACAGACUUACUCAAAUUACCUUAAAAUCUGAAAUAGAGAAGUUCAACAACUAAAGGUUUCUUUCAAAGUCAACUCAGGGCUUCAAAACAGAGAAGUCGAUUCCAGCUUUGAUCUCCAAACAAAGCAUGUUCCACGGACUUUAGGAACAAAAUAAGAGAAGGAAACAGCUAGAUGACAGGAGACAAUGAGAAUGUCCAGUCUGCAAAGAUUCUCUGGAAGAAAAUGGAGAGCAGCAAUAAUGAGAAAUGGGAUCUAGGGCUCACAAGAGUGGGAUGGGUGUUGGCAACAGAAAUCCAGGGUUCACUAGAAAGGGAUGGAUUUUCGCAACAGAAAUCUAGGCUUUGCAAGAAAGGGAUGGGUUUUUUGCUGGUGGCUAAGACCUUCAUGGAAUGAUCUUACUCACAAUGCUCAAAACAGUGUCUGGACAGCUAGACAUUUCUCAGGUUACAAAGAAUUGCCAAGUUUGUACUCACAUAGACAGUGUUCCCUUUUUACCCCUUCAUAUGGCAUACCCUUGCUUCUCAUGAAAUUUAUCCAGUGAGUCAAAAGUUGGUCUAAUACAGUGUUCACUUAUUGUACAUCAUAAAAAGUAGUACUCUGUGGCAUGCAUCCAUUGAACACCACAAUAUUGCAGCAUGAAAAAACACUUUUCUUGUAGUGUAUGCAACACAACUAAAUUUCUUUACAUUCAUUUUUUUUAAAAAUAAGGAUGGGUCAAAAGCAAUAAGAUUCAAAAACUGACAGGAAAUUGACAAUAGAUUCAGAAUCCACUGAAAUGAACAAUCUCCACUCUGCAAGGCAAUGUAAAUAUAUACACCUAUAACACAUCAUUUUAGAGAACUCAAUGGUAACUGAUAAAGUUAUAUUGCAAGAAAUAAAACAGACAUGUCUUGAAAAGCUAAUAAGUACAGCUGAAGAAGAAAAUGUCAUAGUGUACCCAAACGGGGGGGUCCAACACCCGGCCAACAACAGAAGCAUCAAAUCUGGGCAUGCAUCACUGGUUACAGGUAACAGGCAGUGCAAUAAUUAACUAAAGGUUAUAAGCAUUUUCACUUUGUUUACUAAACAUUCAUCUACAGAUCAGAUAUUUCUUAGAGCAUCAGCAGAACUUAAGGAGAUAAAAAUAGGGAACUAUAUGAUUACAACAGUAUAAGAAAGUGAAGCUGGCAAACCAAUGAAGGAGGUUUUUGCAUGUUCAAUCACCAUCCCCAGGGAAGCAUGCUCAUAAAGUCUCUCCACUUCAUCCACUAGUCAGGUAAACAAGAAUAUACUCAGGCAGCUCAUCAGGCCAGAAGAUGGGUGCUCUUUUGCUAAGGACAUACAAAUGAAUC